rnacentral:rRNA from 1 species
GUUUUAGGAACCGGCAACGGAUCCUUUCUUCUGAGAAGUUUGUCAAACUUGGUCAUUUAGGGGAAGUAAAAGUCGUAACAAGGUUUCCGUAGGUGAACCUGCGGAAGAAUCAUUA